AGAUCAUUUUUACUACUCAGUCAUUUGAUGUUCUCAGCUCCCAAUCUUGAUUUCUAUCUGAGUCCAGUAGUAUGCCAUGAAUGGAUUUGAAUUCUGCAUAGCUUUCUCAUGGAGAUGGCAUAACUGUCUUAGCCCUACUGAAAGAGAGAAAUGACACAGUAAUUUGAACAGGAAAAGCUUAAUAAAAAAAAUUAUCAACUAUAGCUCCCACAACUAGUGAUAAAUGAACAAGGAUUCUAAUGAAGAUAUUUAUAAUUCUAAUACCUACUCUCUCUCCACUAGAUCAUCCAACGUUUGACAACAACUUCUAUGUGCAGAGCAGUUCAGGCAAAUAUUUCUGGAGACCUCAAUACUAGCAAUAUAAAACAAUUGCUCAAACUUUACCCUAACCAGGUGAAUUGUUUCCCCUUGGGCAACCUUUCGAGAAUAAUAAGAAAUGACAACUUUAACAAAUGACCUGGUGAUUUGGACUCAUGAGAGACUGAAGAACACAAGCAAACACCCACUGUAAACUGUAAAGUCAGGUGCGUCCAGAGGAUAAAGCCACUAAGGUUUGUUUCUCUGGAGCAGAAGCCGCUGGACUCCAUAACGUGGUAAGAACAUUUAAACAAUACUUUUGGCAAAUUACUGGAGGCUUAUUGUGCACUAGCAUGGGAGUGAACGGCUUUCACAGUCGUGGGCGGGGGCCCUGCACACUUGUCAGCUUUUUCUCAGGAGCCCUGCCAGGUUCUCACAGGAGGAAUCCAAGAAAGCUUCCACAUGAAAUCGCCAAGGA
rnacentral:lncRNA from 1 species